rnacentral:rRNA from 1 species
UCGCCUGUUUAACAAAAACAUAGUUAGGAAUUAUAUUCUAUAUAUCUGCCCAAUGACAAAUGUUAUAUGGCUUUAAUGUAGCGUAAUAAUUAGGCUAUUAAUUGUAGUCAGGUAUGAAGACAGCAUUAAGAGCUGUUAUAUAUUUUAAUCUCCCGAACUUAAAAUAUUAGUUAAAAUGCUAAUAUUAUUCUUGUAGAAGAUAAGACCCUAAAACCUUAAUAAUUUUAGCUGGGAUAGCAAACUUAAUAUAAUAAAGAAACCUUAAAUAUUAUAACCACUAAUUGUGCUUAUAAAGGUACUUUAGGGAUAACAGCGCAAAAUAAUUUUAAAGCCCAUAUUAAAAAUUUAUUAGUGACCUCGAUGUUGAAUUAAGGGAAAAAGGCUGCAGCAGGUCUUUCUCAGGGUCUGUUCGACCCCUAAGCCCUUACAUGAUUUGAGUUAAGAUCGACGCAAGCCAGGUUGGUCUCUAUC